rnacentral:rRNA from 1 species
UGGGGGAUAUUGCACAAUGGGCGAAAGCCUGAUGCAGCGACGCCGCGUGGGGGAUGAAGGCCUUCGGGUUGUAAACUUCUUUUGCUCUGAACAAGGCGCACAAUGGGGUGUGUUGAGUGUAGGGGUUGAUUAGCGCCGGCUAACUACGUGCCAGCAGCCGCGGUAAUACGUAGGGCGCGAGCGUUGUCCGGAAUUAUUGGGCGUAAAGGGCUUGUAGGUGGCUGGUUGCGUCUGUCGUGAAAGCUCAUGGCUUAACUGUGGGUUUGCGGUGGGUACGGGCUGGCUUGAGUGCAGUAGGGGAGGCUGGAAUUCCUGGUGUAGCGGUGGAAUGCGCAGAUAUCAGGAGGAAUACCGGUGGCGAAGGCGGGUCUCUGGGCUGUUACUGACACUGAGGAGCGAAAGCAUGGGGAGCGAACAGG